CAUGCAGUCGUGCGGUAAUAGAGGAACAUUUCUAACGAGCGGCGAACGGGUGAGUAAUAUAUGGGGAUCUGCCCAAUAGAGAGGAAUAACUAUUGGAAACGAUAGCUAAUGCCUCAUAAUCUCUGAGGAGCAAAGUAGGGGACUUUAGAAAUAAAGCCUUACACUAUUGGAUGAACCCAUACGAGAUUAACUAGUAGGUAGGGUAAUGGCUUACCUAGGUUACGAUCUCUAGCUGGUCUGAGAGGAUGAACAGCCACACUGGGACUGAGACACGGCCCAGACUCCUACGGGAGGCAGCAGUGGGGAAUAUUGCACAAUGGGCGAAAGCCUGAUGCAGCCAUGCCGCGUGUAUGAAGAAGGCCUUAGGGUUGUAAAAUACUUUCAGUUGGGAAGAAAGUAAUAAUGCUAAUACCAUUAUUAUCUGACGUUACUAACAAAAGAAGCACCGGCUAACUCCGUGCCAGCAGCCGCGGUAAUACGGAGGGUGCUAGCGUUAAUCGGAAUUACUGGGCGUAAAGCGCACGCAGGUGGUAAAAUAAGUUAGAUGUGAAAUACCAAGGCUUAACCAAGGAAUUGCAUCUAAAACUGUAUUACUAGAGUUUUGUAGAGGAAAGUAGAAUUCCACGUGUAGCGGUGAAAUGCGUAGAGAUGUGGAGGAAUAUCAGUGGCGAAGGCGACUUUCUGGACAAAUACUGACACUCAUGUGCGAAAGCGUGGGGAGCAAACAGGAUUAGAUACCCUGGUAGUCCAUGCUGUAAACGAUGUCGAUUUGGAGAUUGUUAUUUAAAUGGUUUCCGUAGCUAACGCGUUAAAUCGACCGCCUGGGGAGUACGACCGCAAGGUUAAAACUCAAAUGAAUUGACGGGGGCCCGCACAAGCGGUGGAGCAUGUGGUUUAAUUCGAUGCAACGCGAAGAACCUUACCUACUCUUGACAUCCAAUGGAUCCUGCAGAGAUGUAGGAGUGCUUGAAAAAGUAACAUUGAGACAGGUGCUGCAUGGCUGUCGUCAGCUCGUGUUGUGAAAUGUUGGGUUAAGUCCCGCAACGAGCGCAACCCUUAUACUUUGUUACCAUCGAUUCGGUCGGGGACUCAAAGAAAACUGCCAGUGACAAACUGGAGGAAGGUAGGGAUGACGUCAAGUCAUCAUGGCCCUUACGAGUAGGGCUACACACGUGCUACAAUGGCGUAUACAAAGAGCAGCAACCUCGCGAGAGUGAGCGAAACUCAUCAAAGUACGUCUAAGUUCGGAUUGGAGUCUGCAACUCGACUCCAUGAAGUCGGAAUCGCUAGUAAUCGUAGAUCAGAAUGCUACGGUGAAUACGUUCUCGGGCCUUGUACACACCGCCCGUCACACCAUGGAAGUGAGUUGCAAAAGAAGCAAGUAGUUUAACCUGAAUGAAAAUUCAGGAGAGCACUUACCACUUUGUGAUUCAUGACUGGGGUGAAGUCGUAACAAGGUAACCGUA
rnacentral:rRNA from 1 species